rfam:Lactobacillus panis DSM 6035 NODE_205, whole genome shotgun sequence.
AGCUUUGGGUAAUUGAGCGCAGCUUUUGUUGCGUUAGGAAGGUCCAUGCUCGCACAGGCUGCGAUGCCUGUAGUGUUUGUGCUCGCUGAAAAAAUAAGGCGGGGCACCGGCAUGUCCGGUGACGGCGGAAAAAACGGCUAAGGUUUUACUAUGCCCGAGUAUUCCUGAAAAGUGCCACAGUGACGAUACAGCAGGGGAAACCUUGCUGGUGGAACGCGGUAAACCCCUCAAGCGGUAAACCCAAACUACGGUAGGGGAGCUUUGGAUAGCAAAUUGAAGCGAUUCCAGGGGAGAGUUUUUUAACUCUGAGAUAGAUGAUUACCUCGGUCCAACCAUUGCCUGGUGGUUGGGCUACGACAAAACAUGGCCUACAGAU